GACGGGGGGGGCAAGUGUUCUUCGGAAUGACUGGGCGUAAAGGGCACGUAGGCGGUGAAUCGGGUUGAAAGUGAAAGUCGCCAAAAAGUGGCGGAAUGCUCUCGAAACCAAUUCACUUGAGUGAGACAGAGGAGAGUGGAAUUUCGUGUGUAGGGGUGGAAUGCGUAGAGAUUCGGAAGAACACCCAUGGCGAAGGCAGCAUUCUGGGCUUGACCUGACGCUGAGGCACGAAAGCCAGGGGAGCGAACGGG
rnacentral:rRNA from 1 species